UGUUAGAUAUGUGGGCGAUCGUAAAGCCGAUAGAGAACGAGCUUAACGAGCCCGUUAAAGCGAUCUUAGCGUGUCGCCUGUCCAAAGUGACGAGGGACAUCCGUAGCAAGGAUCGCGACGAGAAUCACGAUCGAAGAUCCGAAUGAGGAUCGAGAGAUACGUCGUGACAAGCGGCAUGGCAAAAUGUGGCCAAAAAGAAAAAGUAAAACCGACGAAAGAGCGAUAAGUGAGGUGUAUAAGAUAGAUGAACAGUUAUAAAAAAGAAAAAAUGAAAAAUAUUAGAACAUUAAACACAUGUUACGUGAAAUAUAUAUCGUUAUAUAUAUAUACAGCUGUGAUUGUCACUUAAUUAUAAGAUAAAGAGAACAUGAAGAGAAACACAUGUUAUAUCUACGUGCUUGGAAUGCAUAGUAUAUACGAUAGGAUUAUACAAGACCAUCUAAGAAAAGUGUGAAGAUGAAAAGACGAAGAAGAGAGAUACGUUGGAUGACGUUAAAGAGAAAGAGAGCAGCGGAGAUUUAUCGGCCGGCAUGAUAUACGCGAGCUCGAGUGCCGGUUAUUAUAAUAUCUCGACACGGCGGGUUAUGUGCUCGUGCAGGGUAUUAUGGUGAUAAGUGCUCUCUCGUGUGGGUGUCACGUGGAGGAGGAGACACGGAAGAAGAGAACGACAACGUGUGGGCACGCGUACGAGUGCGCGCGCACAGGUACAUACGAGUACUGUAGGACAAGUAAGAGGACGACAGAGAGCUACUUUAAAAGGCAAAUGAGAUAGAUAGAUAUAGAGAGAGAGAGAGAGAGAGAAAGAGAGAGAGAGAGAGAGAAAGAGAGAGAGAAGUGGAGAGAGGGGGAAGCGAAGAGAAAGGGAGAAAGAGAUUAUCUGCGGUGUGAUAGCAGAUUAUGUCUGCUUGCCUGGUAAACUGCCUCCGGCCUUCCCACCGUCUUCCCUUUCGACUCGACUCGUUCUUCUCGCCUGAAUUCGCUUCUGGUUUUACAUGGAAGAAUGGAAAGAGGUCAAAAUAUCCAAAUCCAUUCAUUGCCGUGGAGGGAAAUAUUGACUCGCAUAGUACGUUUCCGCUCGAAGUGUGACCUAUAUAAAUUCUUGAAAAUGCAUUCGCCAACGAGAGAGCUUGAAUUGGGAAAGCAGGAGGGGGAUAAAAAAGGAAAAAAUGAAGUCGUCGAAAGGCCUUGCUUCGGUAGCAAAGCGAGCAAAAAAAUACGAAGGACGAUCAUCGAGCGAGUUCGAGUAUGAGAGAGCAUGGAGCGUGGAGCGGGAGGGGGGAGUGGGAGGAGCAGAGAGGAAACAUUUCAUUCAUAAGCAACGACGAGUGAAAAGGACAGAUAUUUUUCAACGACGAGGCGAUAUGUUUCUUUCAAAAUGGAAUUUCCCGGAUGCAAAUUCUCGCACGAUUCUCUGGACAAUCGUUUUUCUUUCGUUUUCGCAGAAAAAAAAAAAAAAAAAAAAAAAAAAAAAAAAGAAAAAAAAGAGAAAAAAAUUUCUUUUUUUUUCCACAAAUAAUACAAAUAUCAUUUCUAUGAAUUUCGGUAUAAUAUAAAUAAUAACGAGAACGAUAUAGUCGAAUUUAGAAACGCGAAUGAAAUCACGGGAUACGCUUUCGACACACGCAAUUUUCAUUUUAUUUAUUUAUUUUUUAUUCACAUUCGUUGUCUGCGUUUCAUUCGCAGAGUUGAUUAUGGAUAAAUAAAGGUCAAAUAUUUUAUAGCUCUUUUUACUGAUGCACAUACACGCACUUGCGCACACACACACGAUCGCAUGGACGAUCUCAAGAGCGAUCGAUACACGUACAGACUCAUAAAAGGUAUUAUUAAGGUGAAAAUACAUAUGUAUGUAUACGAAUUUGUUAUCGUUUCAAAGUGUAACAAUGUAUAAAUAGAUCUGUUCGUCCAUCUCUCGAUAUUUUCUACAAUUCGAUCAAUUUAUUAUUUUUUUCUUUGAAAGACAUCGGAAUUGAAAAUUCAUUGUUAAUCGUUUGUCUACUAGAACGAUAAAGGAAUUCAUUUCACGAUAUCGAUUCGUAACUUUCUUAAAAAAAAAAAAAAAGAAAAAAAAAAAAAUUGAUGAAAAAGCCUGAGCAUCGUAUUCGAUUAUUUCCAAUUUUCUUUCACAUAAUCUCGUUACAUCAUAAAUAUUGAAUUAAUUCGUAUAUACAUAUAUACAUGUCGUUAGAGAAUUCGUUACGAUAGAACGGCUCUUAUUUAUGAAUCAGUCCAAUAUAUAAAAAAUAUAAAUUGCAAAAGGAACUAAACGCGUUCGAUCGAUUGAUUUCAACAUCAAAAAAAAAAAAAAAGAAUUAACUCUUUGCAUACCGGUUAUUUUUUUUCGAUAUUUAAUAAAUGAAAUAACUCGAACAUCCAUUAUGGGAUUCUAUCCAGAUUAAAUUUUAAAAUUGCAAAGGAUUAGUCGUUUAUAAAUGAUGAAAAUGGUUAAAAGAAUUAACUAUCGUGCGCAUCGAACGUUCAACACGUAUAUUACAAAAUUGUUAAUUAUUAGAAAUUAUUAUCGAGUACGCGCUGUUAGCCUUUUUCGUAGAAUGCUUCAUUAGCGCGAACGAUUCCAUUAUCGAAUUUUACAAGCGUGAUAAUUUCGGAUGCAUUAAUAUAACGGUGCUUAAAAUUAUUUUCACAGGUGAGAACGUUUUUGGUGAGAAUGAAAAGGAAUAUAUUUUCGUGCGUGCCAGAGAUAAUAACGAUAAUCGCAUGGCCGAUGUGUGGAGCUUGCCCGUUUAUUAUUAUUCUAAUUGCGGAAGGCCGAAUGGAAAAUGUAACAAUUGCUUUUGCGUUACAGCGAGGCGAAAUUGCUCUUCGCAUUGACAAAAACCACAUUGGUUUUCCUCUUUCGGAAGAUCGAAAUGGACGACAGUGAACACAUGGAUAAGCAAUUCGUUUCAGCAUCGAUGUUUCCACUCGGUUACGUUAGUUUUAUGAUAUUUCGCUUUAUUUACGUAUAACUCGUGGUAAAACAAAUAAUUACUUAUUAUCAUUUAAACCUAAUUCAUAAUAAACAGUAUUCUUGAUUAAUAUCAAAAGAUAUUGCCAUAAAAAAAUAUGUAUAUAUAUAU